GACGAACGCUGGCGGCGUGCUUAACACAUGCAAGUCGAACGGAAAGGCCCCUUUGGGGGUACUCGAGUGGCGAACGGGUGAGUAACACGUGAGUAACCUGCCCUUGACUUCGGGAUAACUUCAGGAAACUGGGGCUAAUACCGGAUAGGAAUCCUUGCUGCAUGGUGGGGGUUGGAAAGCUUCGGCGGUUUUGGAUGGACUCGCGGCUUAUCAGCUUGUUGGUGGGGUAGUGGCUUACCAAGGCGUUGACGGGUAGCCGGCCUGAGAGGGCGACCGGCCACAUUGGGACUGAGAUACGGCCCAGACUCCUACGGGAGGCAGCAGUGGGGAAUAUUGCACAAGGGGCGGAAGCCUGAUGCAGCAACGCCGCGUGCGGGAUGACGGCCUUCGGGUUGUAAACCGCUUUCAGCAGGGGCGAAGCUUGUGGUGACGGUACCUGCAGAAGAAGCACCGGCUAACUACGUG
rnacentral:rRNA from 1 species